rnacentral:tmRNA from 1 species
GGGGUCGUUUUUGGAUUCGCCGUAGUAAUAAAAGCUAUAUAAGCACGUAGCAGUAGUCUGCUUUAUCAACGUCGAGGUUUAAAUAACCGCAAACAAUUCACAUUUAUUUGCACGCUCUAACAAUAUGAGCGCUGCAUACGCUUGCUAAUUUAACUCAAGCGGCUUUUCUUAUUUGUUUCCUAUAGCAAUUAAGAUAAAGUUUCAAUUCAUAUAGGAUAUAUAAUUUUAAUGCUACUCUAAUUAGAAUUACGAAUUUAAAUAGAGCGUAGUUAGUUUUUGGAUUGUUUAUUUUCUUAGAACUAAUGAAAUUUUUAAAUAAACUAAACGUGUAGAAAGUAUAGUGGAUGUUGCUGCGUACGGGAGUUCGAUUCUCCCCGGCUCCACCA